rnacentral:rRNA from 1 species
UACGAAGGGGGCUAGCGUUGCUCGGAAUUACUGGGCGUAAAGCGCACGUAGGCGGCUUUCUAAGUCGGGGGUGAAAUCCUGGAGCUCAACUCCAGAACUGCCUUCGAUACUGGAGAGCUUGAGUCCGGGAGAGGUGAGUGGAACUGCGAGUGUAGAGGUGAAAUUCGUAGAUAUUCGCAAGAACACCAGUGGUGAAGGCGGCUCACUGGCCCGGUACUGACGCUGAGGUGCGAAAGCGUGGGGAGCAAACAGG